GAUGAACGCUGGCGGCGUGCCUAAUACAUGCAAGUCGAGCGAACAGAUGAGGAGCUUGCUCCUCUGACGUUAGCGGCGGACGGGUGAGUAACACGUGGAUAACCUACCUAUAAGACUGGGAUAACUUCGGGAAACCGGAGCUAAUACCGGAUAAUAUAUUGAACCGCAUGGUUCAAUAGUGAAAGACGGUUUUGCUGUCACUUAUAGAUGGAUCCGCGCCGCAUUAGCUAGUUGGUAAGGUAACGGCUUACCAAGGCAACGAUGCGUAGCCGACCUGAGAGGGUGAUCGGCCACACUGGAACUGAGACACGGCCCCGACUCCUAGGGGAGGCAGCAGUAGGGAAUCUUCCGCAAUGGGCGAAAGCCUGACGGAGCAACGCCGCGUGAGUGAUGAAGGUCUUCGGAUCGUAAAACUCUGUUAUUAGGGAAGAACAAAUGUGUAAGUAACUAUGCACGUCUUGACGGUACCUAAUCAGAAAGCCACGGCUAACUACGUG
rnacentral:rRNA from 1 species